UACCGAGGCUGCAAGCGUUAUCGGGAAUGAUUAGGCGUAAAGCGUCCGCAGGUGGCUGUGUGAGUCCAUUGUCAAAGCAUCAUGCUUAACCUGAUAAAGGCAGGGGAAACUACACGACUAGAGGGCGUUCGGGGCAGAGGGAAUUCCUGGUGUAGCGGUGAAAUGCGUAGAGAUCAGGAAGAACACCGGUGGCGAAAGCGCUCUGCUAGGCCGCAACUGACACUGAGAGACGAAAGCUAGGGGAGCAAAUGGG
rnacentral:rRNA from 1 species